rnacentral:lncRNA from 1 species
GAAACAGAUUUGACAGAUGAAGUUAGUAGUGCUUGCUUGGGCUUGAAAUGUACAAAAUAGGAACCUUCAAAUGAAGAUUUAGUCAACAAAAUUUAGCAACAAAAAAGUCACUAAUAGGCAGGUUAGUUAAAGAAUUCCCCUUCCCUCACUUAUCGUAGUUCACAGCACCCCACACAAGUUAAAUAAUAUUAAGACCAACAAAAGAAACCGACUGACAGAUGAACAAAGAAGUCACUAAGCAGGUUGGGAUGGGAAAGGAGGUCUGGAAAAAGAUUCUACCCAGAAGGAAGUCACCCUACUCCAGUGGUUCUUGGCACCUACAGCUGCUUCUUCAUUCUCUAACAUCUCUGAAAUCCACUUUGACUUGGACCUUGAUUUGAAUCUUUGGCUUGGAGCUGGUGACUUGCCUCUUGGUGGCUUUGGACUUGGGACUUGGCUUCAACUUGGGACCUUAGCUCUUGGACUGCUUCUUGAAAGACUUCUCCUGGAUCUUCUCCUUUGGACUUUGACUUGGAGAAUGAAGACAUCCAACCAGUCAAGAGUGAAGCCUGAUAAGCCCUGGGUCUCUCUCUCUCUUUGAGGAGCAGAGGUUGAAGAGAGGUUUUUUUCAGGAGCAGGGAAUUCCCUAGGGAAGGUACUGAGGAUGAGUAAUAAAUAACCUUUUUCAUUCUCUCUAAUUUGUGGU